GUGAGUAUAGCUCAGUGGUAGAGUGUAGGCUUAGCAUGCAUGAGGUCCUAGGUUCAAUCCCCAGUACCUCCA
rfam:Camelus ferus unplaced genomic scaffold scaffold2018, whole genome shotgun sequence.